CAAGUAGAACGCUGAAGCUUGGUGCUUGCACCGAGCGGAUGAGUUGCGAACGGGUGAGUAACGCGUAGGUAACCUGCCUGGUAGCGGGGGAUAACUAUUGGAAACGAUAGCUAAUACCGCAUAACAGUCGACAUUGCAUGAUGUUGAUUUGAAAGGGGCAAAUGCUCCACUACCAGAUGGACCUGCGUUGUAUUAGCUAGUUGGUGAGGUAACGGCUCACCAAGGCGACGAUACAUAGCCGACCUGAGAGGGUGAUCGGCCACACUGGGACUGAGACACGGCCCAGACUCCUACGGGAGGCAGCAGUAGGGAAUCUUCGGCAAUGGACGGAAGUCUGACCGAGCAACGCCGCGUGAGUGAAGAAGGUUUUCGGAUCGUAAAGCUCUGUUGUAAGAGAAGAACGAGUGUGAGAGUGGAAAGUUCACACUGUGACGGUAACUUACCAGAAAGGGACGGCUAACUACGUGCCAGCAGCCGCGGUAAUACGUAGGUCCCGAGCGUUAUCCGGAUUUAUUGGGCGUAAAGCGAGCGCAGGCGGUUAGAUAAGUCUGAAGUUAAAGGCUGUGGCUUAACCAUAGUACGCUUUGGAAACUGUUUAACUUGAGUGCAGAAGGGGAGAGUGGAAUUCCAUGUGUAGCGGUGAAAUGCGUAGAUAUAUGGAGGAACACCGGUGGCGAAAGCGGCUCUCUGGUCUGUAACUGACGCUGAGGCUCGAAAGCGUGGGGAGCAAACAGG
rnacentral:rRNA from 1 species